rnacentral:rRNA from 1 species
AACCUGCGCUUUGCGCGUCGAGCCGAGCGCGUUCCUCGGUCUAGGCAGGUCGCAUUGCACCCUCGGCUAUAAGACGCCCCUAGGGGCGUUACCUUCCGAGGGCCUUUGACCGACCGCCCAAACCGACGCUGGCCCGCCCGCGGGGAAGUACACCGGCACGAAUGCCGGCUGAACCCCGCGAGCGAGUCUGGUCGCAAGCGCUUCCCUUUCAACAAUUUCACGUGCUUUUUAACUCUCUUUUCAAAGUGCUUUUCAUCUUUCGAUCACUCUACUUGUGCGCUAUCGGUCUCCGGCCAAUAUUUAGCUUUAGAUGAAAUUUACCACCCAUUUAGAGCUGCAUUCCCAAACAACUCGACUCGUCGAAGGAGCUUCACACGGGCGCGGACACCCCAUCCCAUACGGGAUUCUCACCCUCUAUGACGUCCCGUUCCAGGGCACUUAGAUGGGGACCGCUCCCGAAGCAUCCUCUGCAAAUUACAAUGCGGACCCCGAAGGAGCCAGCUUUCAAAUUUGAGCUCUUGCCGCUUCACUCGCCGUUACUGGGGCAAUCCCUGUUGGUUUCUUUUCCUCCGCUUAUUGAUAUGCA